rnacentral:rRNA from 1 species
CCUACGGGAGGCAGCAGUGGGGAAUAUUGCGCAAUGGGCGAAAGCCUGACGCAGCGACGCCGCGUGAGGGAUGAAGGUCUUCGGAUCGUAAACCUCUGUCAGCAGGGAAGAAAAUGACGGUACCUGACUAAGAAGCCCCGGCUAACUACGUGCCAGCAGCCGCGGUAAUACGUAGGGGGCAAGCGUUAUCCGGAUUUACUGGGUGUAAAGGGAGCGUAGACGGCAGCGCAAGUCUGAAGUGAAAUCCCAUGGCUUAACCAUGGAACUGCUUUGGAAACUGUGCAGCUGGAGUGCAGGAGAGGUAAGCGGAAUUCCUAGUGUAGCGGUGAAAUGCGUAGAUAUUAGGAGGAACACCAGUGGCGAAGGCGGCUUACUGGACUGUAACUGACGUUGAGGCUCGAAAGCGUGGGGAGCAAACAGGAUUAGAUACCCGGUAGUC